AACGAACGCUGGCGGCAUGCCUAACACAUGCAAGUCGAACGAAGCCUUCGGGCUUAGUGGCGCACGGGUGCGUAACACGUGGGAAUCUGCCCUUCGGUUCGGAAUAACAGUUAGAAAUGACUGCUAAUACCGGAUGAUGACGUAAGUCCAAAGAUUUAUCGCCGAAGGAUGAGCCCGCGUAGGAUUAGGUAGUUGGUAGGGUAAUGGCCUACCAAGCCGACGAUCCUUAGCUGGUCUGAGAGGAUGAUCAGCCACACUGGGACUGAGACACGGCCCAGACUCCUACGGGAGGCAGCAGUGGGGAAUAUUGGACAAUGGGCGAAAGCCUGAUCCAGCAAUGCCGCGUGAGUGAUGAAGGCCUUAGGGUUGUAAAGCUCUUUUACCAGGGAUGAUAAUGACAGUACCUGGAGAAUAAGCUCCGGCUAACUCCGUGCCAGCAGCCGCGGUAAAGUCUGUACU
rnacentral:rRNA from 1 species